GAUGAAGAACGCAGCGAAAUGCGAUAAGUAGUGUGAAUUGCAGAAUUCAGUGAAUCAUCGAAUCUUUGAACGCACAUUGCGCCCCUUGGUAUUCCAUGGGGCAUGCCUGUUCGAGCGUCAUUUGUACCUUCAAGCCUUGCUUGGUGUUGGGUGUUUGUCUCGCCUCUGCGCGCAGACUCGCCUCAAAACAAUUGGCAGCCGGCGUAUUGAUUUCGGAGCGCAGUACAUCUCGCGCUUUGCACUCAGAACGACGACGUCCAAAAGUACAUUUUUACACUCUUGACCUCGGAUCAGGUAGGGAUACCCGCUGAACUUAAGCAUAUCAUAAGCGGAGGA
rnacentral:misc_RNA from 1 species